rnacentral:rRNA from 1 species
AGCGUACACGGUGGAUGCCCUGGCAGUCAGAGGCGAUGAAGGACGUGCUAAUCUGCGAAAAGCGUCGGUAAGGUGAUAUGAACCGUUAUAACCGGCGAUGUCCGAAUGGGGAAACCCAGUGCAAUUCGUUGCACUAUCGUUAACUGAAUACAUAGGUUAACGAGGCGAACCGGGGGAACUGAAACAUCUAAGUACCCCGAGGAAAAGAAAUCAACCGAGAUUCCCCCAGUAGCGGCGAGCGAACGGGGAGCAGCCCAGAGUCUGAAUCAGCUUGUGUGUUAGUGGAACGGUCUGGAAAGUCCGACGGUACAGGGUGAUAGUCCCGUACACCAAAAUGCACAGGUUGUGAACUCGAAGAGUAGGGCGGGACACGUGGUAUCCUGUCUGAAUAUGGGGGGACCAUCCUCCAAGGCUAAAUACUCCUGACUGACCGAUAGUGAACCAGUACCGUGAGGGAAAGGCGAAAAGAACCCCGGCGAGGGGAGUGAAAAAGAACCUGAAACCGUGUACGUACAAGCAGUGGGAGCACCUUCGGGUGUGACUGCGUACCUUUUGUAUAAUGGGUCAGCGACUUAUAUUCUGUAGCAAGGUUAACCGUAUAGGGGAGCCGCAGGGAAACCGAGUCUUAACUGGGCGUUAAGUUGCAGGGUAUAGACCCGAAACCCGGUGAUCUAGCCAUGGGCAGGUUGAAGGUUGGGUAACACUAACUGGAGGACCGAACCGACUAAUGUUGAAAAAUUAGCGGAUGACUUGUGGCUGGGGGUGAAAGGCCAAUCAAACCGGGAGAUAGCUGGUUCUCCCCGAAAGCUAUUUAGGUAGCGCCUCGUGAACUCAUCUUCGGGGGUAGAGCACUGUUUCGGCUAGGGGGUCAUCCCGACUUACCAACCCGAUGCAAACUACGAAUACCGAAGAAUGUUAUCACGGGAGACACACGGCGGGUGCUAACGUCCGUCGUGAAGAGGGAAACAACCCAGACCGCCAGCUAAGGUCCCAAAGUCAUGGUUAAGUGGGAAACGAUGUGGGAAGGCACAGACAGCCAGGAUGUUGGCUUAGAAGCAGCCAUCAUUUAAAGAAAGCGUAAUAGCUCACUGGUCGAGUCGGCCUGCGCGGAAGAUGUAACGGGGCUAAACCAUGCACCGAAGCUGCGGCAGCGACACUAUGUGUUGUUGGGUAGGGGAGCGUUCUGUAAGCCUGCGAAGGUGUGCUGUGAGGCAUGCUGGAGGUAUCAGAAGUGCGAAUGCUGACAUAAGUAACGAUAAAGCGGGUGAAAAGCCCGCUCGCCGGAAGACCAAGGGUUCCUGUCCAACGUUAAUCGGGGCAGGGUGAGUCGACCCCUAAGGCGAGGCCGAAAGGCGUAGUCGAUGGGAAACAGGUUAAUAUUCCUGUACUUGGUGUUACUGCGAAGGGGGGACGGAGAAGGCUAUGUUAGCCGGGCGACGGUUGUCCCGGUUUAAGCAUGUAGGCUGAUUGUCCAGGCAAAUCCGGAUAAUCAAGGCUGAGGUGUGAUGACGAGGCACUACGGUGCUGAAGUAACAAAUGCCCUGCUUCCAGGAAAAGCCUCUAAGCAUCAGGUAACAUCAAAUCGUACCCCAAACCGACACAGGUGGUCAGGUAGAGAAUACCAAGGCGCUUGAGAGAACUCGGGUGAAGGAACUAGGCAAAAUGGUGCCGUAACUUCGGGAGAAGGCACGCUGGUGUGUAGGUGAAGUCCCUGCGGAUGGAGCUGAGACCAGUCGAAGAUACCAGCUGGCUGCAACUGUUUAUUAAAAACACAGCACUGUGCAAACACGAAAGUGGACGUAUACGGUGUGACGCCUGCCCGGUGCCGGAAGGUUAAUUGAUGGGGUUAUCCGUAAGGAGAAGCUCUUGAUCGAAGCCCCGGUAAACGGCGGCCGUAACUAUAACGGUCCUAAGGUAGCGAAAUUCCUUGUCGGGUAAGUUCCGACCUGCACGAAUGGCGUAAUGAUGGCCAGGCUGUCUCCACCCGAGACUCAGUGAAAUUGAACUCGCUGUGAAGAUGCAGUGUACCCGCGGCAAGACGGAAAGACCCCGUGAACCUUUACUAUAGCUUGACACUGAACAUUGAGCCUUGAUGUGUAGGAUAGGUGGGAGGCUUUGAAGCGUGGACGCCAGUCUGCGUGGAGCCAACCUUGAAAUACCACCCUUUAAUGUUUGAUGUUCUAACGUUGGCCCCUGACCGGGGUUGCGGACAGUGUCUGGUGGGUAGUUUGACUGGGGCGGUCUCCUCCCAAAGCGUAACGGAGGAGCACGAAGGUUAGCUAAUCCUGGUCGGACAUCAGGAGGUUAGUGCAAUGGCAUAAGCUAGCUUGACUGCGAGCGUGACGGCGCGAGCAGGUGCGAAAGCAGGUCAUAGUGAUCCGGUGGUUCUGAAUGGAAGGGCCAUCGCUCAACGGAUAAAAGGUACUCCGGGGAUAACAGGCUGAUACCGCCCAAGAGUUCAUAUCGACGGCGGUGUUUGGCACCUCGAUGUCGGCUCAUCACAUCCUGGGGCUGAAGUAGGUCCCAAGGGUAUGGCUGUUCGCCAUUUAAAGUGGUACGCGAGCUGGGUUUAGAACGUCGUGAGACAGUUCGGUCCCUAUCUGCCGUGGGCGCUGGAGAAUUGAGGGGGGCUGCUCCUAGUACGAGAGGACCGGAGUGGACGCAUCACUGGUGUUCGGGUUGUCAUGCCAAUGGCACUGCCCGGUAGCUAAAUGCGGAAGAGAUAAGUGCUGAAAGCAUCUAAGCACGAAACUUGCCCCGAGAUGAGUUCU